CGACGACACGAAUCACGGUUUCGCUCGAAUCCUCGGUGACAGUCUCGAGCGCGUCCACGCGCCUGGACGCAGUGCCUCCCACGCGCCUCCGCCGCACAGCUCCGUCCUUUAAACAGGCGCGUUUAGGUUACGGUUACAGGUAAUAAAUAAAUAAAUAAAUAAACAGACACCGGGCUCUCGGAGGGAAGCGUGUCACCUAAACACGAAAUCUAUGGAAGCAUCCAGCAGCAAAGCGCCAGGAGGAGACGCCUCAUUAUUCAUUAUUAUGAGCUUCAGCAACAGAAGUGUGUGAACUUACACUGGUCCUGAAAAUACCUCAGAACCGGGAGAACCUAGAACCUGAUUAAUACAACAAACACAGCACCAGCAGAGGACCAGGGUGCGUGCAGAUCCAGGAACACUGGGAACACUGGGAACACUGGGAAUACUGCUCACACUGCUGAACACAUGGACACGGCGAGGGCUAACCAAACACCGACACGGGAAGAACAGGUGAGACCGCACACCUGAGGUCAGGUACUGUGAGACGGAGACGCUCCCUAACAUGGCCAAGUGUUCCCUAUUGGUUAUGAGGCGAAGGUGAGCACUAACCACUAAUCCAGUCUUCAGGAGGCUUUAAAGCACCGGUUUAAAAAACCUCUUAGAAGAUGAUGCAGCGUAAUCAUCAAGAUUUCACAUUAUUAGUAGAAACCUCGGAGGUUUUGAUGGUAAGAUAACGGUGUGAUGUGAACGUGAAGACUAAUAGCAGGCACCAUGACUGAAAUAAGAUCUGAAACGCAAUGUUCCUCACAGCUUUCAGGGGGGGUUCUGCAGGCCAGCUGGUUUCAGAAAAUGUAGGAUGUUUCUGAAAUCUCUGCAGUCGUACUGACAUCUAGUGGAAACUCAUGACAACGUCACAUGGUGCGAGACAGACACGAGUCAGUGACUUGAAAUUUUCUAAACAUCCCACAAAUUAUUAUACAGGAGCCGUCAGAUCAGUGAGUCGGACACGUGUGAUUAGUGUAAAUUAAAGAGGUUUUUAUGGAAUUGAGGAGUUUUCUGGUAUUCAGUAGACACCCUUAUCCAGACUUACAUUUUAUCUCAUUUUAUACAUCUGAGCAAUUUAGGGUUAAGGGCCUUGCUCAGGGGCCCAGCAGUGGACGCUUGGUGGACCUGGGAUUCAAACCUUCCAAUCAGUAGUCCAACACCUUCAUCACUGAGCUACGACCACCUCCAUCCCCAAUAUUCUUUUAUUAUUAGCAAAAAAAAUCUAGUUCUGACAUGUUUUGCGACAGCAUGGAAAUAUUCACCAGUUUAAUCGAAAUCAUUCAAAUAAUCACACCUCGCUAGCCAGAGCUUCAGAUUAGCUCAUGAACUUUGCAAGAAGGCGUCAGAGAGACCGAAACAAGUGGUGUGAAAAUACGCUGAGGGAAUUUUAUUGGUCAAAAUAACGAAUGACCUUUUAAGCAAAUAUUUGAGUAAAUUAAAUCCAGUGCACGCAGUUCACCGCCUGAAUGGAGAAAUCAGCUGUGUGAUGAACGUGUCACGUGAUUUCACUAGAAGUUGCCCAGAAUGGAAGCCAGGGUGUAUGUGAACGCUCUUCCAGUGUUGAAGGAUUUCAUUCCAUCAUGCUGACUGACUGAAAGAACCUCAUUCCAUUUCAAAUAACGAAUAUGCAAACACUGUCGUUAUAUCAGCCUCUAUUGGUAAUUAGCCGUCCGUCAGGUUUGACUAGCUUCUCACAGGAUGAGUUGAUGAUGGGAAAUGAAGUCUUACUUCCAUUAUCAGCAUCAUCCACAUCGCCCCCUGGCUGCGUCUCAGUCCGUCACUAAGUAGUGAAUUUCUCACUGCCUGGACACUGGGACACUGAUGACUUCCUUACUGGAAAUAAAAUAUAACAAACGUGGUACAGAACGUUACGCUAAUCAUCAUCUGAGAGCUGCUUACAUCAGCAGACGGAGUCGAUUGAGAGUUGAGUUCGUCCUCCAACAAUAUGGCGUCAUUUCCAGUCAGAGAACAUACUCAGCAUCGAUGGUUAUUCUGGUGCAUUGUGGGAUUUUUUUAUGGACAUGAAGGAUUUCUGUGUCUCAUCUCGAGUCUCUAGUGAACAAAUCGAUGAGAAAAACAAAAUCGAUCGCUCCUUCGCUUCUGCUCCGUGAAAUCUCUUUCGAUUUUUAAUUUGUGUAAAAACUGAUGGAGGACAUUUUAACAGACGCUAUCCGAUCGCAAACUUCUCUCCAUCUCACUGUGGCGUGUAGCCGGAAAAACACUUAGCUAACGAGGUUUAGGGUUAAUAAGAUAAUAACAACAAACACCAUUGUGGUGAAAUAUACAGCAUGUCAGAAAUCUGAGGUACUGAAAUAUGUUCUAGCACAAAGCUAAACUAAGCUACGGCCUUAGUGUUUAUCUGUGAGGAAACAGUCAUUAUCAGUCUUGUUUUAUUUCUCACAGAUUUUCCUACUCAUUGUUUUUUUCUCUUCCCUAUGAUGAAGUCCAAAUGAAAUAGUUUUGAGGUGAAAUCUGCUCUCCUAGCAACAGCUAAGUGAAACACAGCGCCUGCAUUGUUCAUGUCUUCACCUUCCUGUUUUCCCAUCCUGUUUUCUUGUCAUUCAUCCAGAGAU